rnacentral:rRNA from 1 species
AAUGAACGUUAGCGGCGCGCCUGAUGCAUGCAAGUCGAACGGUCUGUUGAUCCGCAAGGAAUAACAGGUAGUGGCAAACGGCUGAGUAACGCGUAAGUAACCUAUCUCUAAGUGGGGAAUAACCUGCCGAAAGGCAAGCUAAUACCGCAUGUGCUGAUUCACGAUAGUUUAUCAGUAAAGCUUUCGGGCGCUUGGAGCAGGGCUUGCGUCUGAUUAGCUAGUUGGUAGGGUAAUGGCCUACCAAGGCGAUGAUCAGUAGCUGGUCUGAGAGGACGACCAGCCAGACAGGGACUGAGACACGGCCCUGACUCCUACGGGUGGCUG